UAGCUGUGUUAAGCAACAAUUGCUAAUAUCUGCUGUCAUGAAGACUUUAAAAUGAUAAAUAUCAGUGCUAUUGAAUCCCUCGGCUUGUUAUUUGCUUCUUUUAUGCCUACUAGAUUGAAGCCGAGUUUGCUCGCCUCACCACUGUUGACCUGAAAGGCUGUCUCUUUGCUGGCCUUGACAAGUCUGCAGAGGUUUAUUGAUCUCUACAGAGCCAAGUGUGGUGGAGCUGAAGAAGCUGUUGACAACACUGGAUAGUGAUUGUUCCAACCAAUGGAAAAGGACCAUCGUGCUGAUGGGGCUCCCCGACUACCUCAAAGAUGUUGCGUCCAACUUUUACAAGAAAGUUCAGGCCACAGUUGCUGAGGAGGACAUGACGAGAGGAAUGACUGUGGGCAUCCUCGUGGUGGCACGGGAAUGAUACUGUUGGUUUCGCUGUGGUCAUUGAGGAAGAAAUCAUCCUUCCGUCGCUCAGUGAUUUUCCAACGGCUGUGGCACUUCUGAUGGGUCUGCUCUAUGCACUGAACAUUGACUACCCCAAAGACACAAGGUACACAUUUGAAGUCAUUCAGAAGGUGCUCAUGGACAUUGGUGGAGGCCAUUGCACUGCGUUGGUUCAUGGCUUGAGAAACAGACUCUUGAGGAAAACCAUGUAAGCUUAAAGCAGAGUUUAAGCUUUGCCCAAAUGUGAACAAAAUGUGAACUUGAUUGAGAAAUGG